AGAGUUUGAUCCUGGCUCAGGACGAACGCUGGCGGCGUGCUUAACACAUGCAAGUCGAGCGACUGCACCCCUUUCGGGGGGUGUAAGGAGCGGCGAACGGGUGAGUAACACGUGAGCAACCUACCCUUGGCUUUGGGAUAACCCUCGGAAACGGGGGCUAAUACCGGAUACACACACCUGGGCGCAUGUCCGGGCGUGAAAAGUUUUUCGGCCAGGGAUGGGCUCGCGGCCUAUCAGCUAGUUGGUGGGGUAACGGCCUACCAAGGCGACGACGGGUAGCCGGCCUGAGAGGGCGACCGGCCACACUGGGACUGAGACACGGCCCAGACUCCUACGGGAGGCAGCAGUGGGGAAUAUUGCACAAUGGGCGAAAGCCUGAUGCAGCGACGCCGCGUGAGGGAUGACGGCCUUCGGGUUGUAAACCUCUUUCAGCUCCGACGAAGGGCAGCUGACGGUAGGAGCAGAAGAAGCGCCGGCCAACUACGUGCCAGCAGCCGCGGUAAGACGUAGGGCGCGAGCGUUGUCCGGAUUUAUUGGGCGUAAAGAGCUCGUAGGCGGCUUGUCGCGUCGACUGUGAAAACCCGCGGCUCAACCGUGUGGUCUGCAGUCGAUACGGGCAGGCUCGAGUUCGGUAGGGGAGACUGGAAUUCCUGGUGUAGCGGUGAAAUGCGCAGAUAUCAGGAGGAACACCGGUGGCGAAGGCGGGUCUCUGGGCCGAUACUGACGCUGAGGAGCGAAAGCGUGGGGAGCGAACAGGAUUAGAUACUCCUGGUAGUCCACGCUGUAAACGUUGGGCGCUAGGUGUGGGGAGUCUCUCCGGGUUCUCUGUGCCGCAGCUAACGCAUUAAGCGCUCUCGCCUGGGGGAGUACGGCGCAAGGCUAAAACUCAAAGGAAUG
rnacentral:rRNA from 1 species